GAUCUUUUUCCCGAGAAGACUUGCAUUAUUUCAUUAGAGUGAAUGGUAAAAAAACCAAACCAGACAAACAAAGAAAACCUCCUGUCGCUGCCAGUUCCCCUCUAACCCCAACAAGUAAACAGGUGAAAUACAUAACCUGAAAAAAUAAUCGCACAGUCUAAUUGGUACUAGUAUGAGCAAGCAGUGUGCACAUGGCUGAAUACUCAGCAGAGUGAAUCAAAGAGCUACACCUGAAAGGAUGGCUUAAGUCCAGUAAAAGUGUCAAGCAAUGGGACUAUUACAGCCAAGGGUGACAAAACAGCUGCAGCCCUACAUGCUUGGUGGUGGCAGUACCACCACAGAUAACCAGCUGAGAGUGACCUUUCUGCAUGGUUCCUCCAAUGUAUCACAGUUGAUAUGUUGUCCUGAGAGGAGUAGCAAGGUGGGAUAAUGCUGCCCUCCC